AUUAUUCAUAUUGCGUGGUAAUAGUCAUUACUUGAUUUCAGUUCCUAAGCCUCUAUUUAAACAUAAUUUCAUUGUUUUAAAUUAUAAAAUAAAAUAUUUAACUGUGCCUAUUGUGUUCUUGUUGUUUCUGAAGUAAUGUUCAAACUUUGUUAAAAAUACUAGGAAUAUUGAUGAUGUUGAUUGUAGACGUAGCUUCAACUUCUCAAUGUAGUUCAAAGCUUAAUUUUACGGUGACUGAUUUCAAAGGCAAUGUUGUAACUUCAGUCCAUUACAGAUGUUGGCCAUGCUUGUUAUCACCGUACCAAAUUGAAUUGAGGGUCAUAGACACCUAGUUGCUGAUUUUUUUGCCUAGCUAAUUUCACUUCAUGUUGUAUGAUCUUGCAUACAUCAUAUUCGAUUGCAGAAGGUUGUUUUAGUGUUAUAAGUUAUACUUUUUUUCUUAGUUCAUGCACUUCAUGUUAGUUUUGAUAUUGAUAGAGGUAUUAUUUUAGGUUGUCUCUGGAUUAUUGAUGGU
rnacentral:misc_RNA from 1 species